rnacentral:lncRNA from 1 species
AGACAACAGGAGGGAAUCAAGCAGGAUUCAUAGGCUGAUGAUCUUGCACAUCCAGGAAAUACUCUUGUCCCUCUUCCUGCCUGCAGUGAAGACUGACAGCCAUCUCUCAUCCAUCUUGUAUUGUACUAGGAAUCAAGCCCUCAAGAAAGCCAAUCACCAAGAAGAAACACACAAAAGUGGGGAAUGCACAAAUGUCAAUAUGAAAACAAAAAGAUGAUAAAAUAAGAUGACAUGGUUCUUCCAC